CAGCAGCCGCGGUAAUACGUAGGGUGCGAGCGUUGCCCGGAUUUAUUGGGCGUAAAGGGCGCGUAGGCGGUCACGCACGUCCGUUGUGAAAUCGCUCGGCUCAACUGGGCGGGGUCAGCGGAUACGGCGUGGCUGGAGCAAGCUAGGGGGCAAUGGAAUUCCCGGUGUAGUGGUGGAAUGCGUAGAUAUCGGGAGGAACACCAGUGGCGAAGGCGGUUGCCUGGAGCUUUGCUGACGCUGAUGCGCGAAAGCGUGGGGAGCGAUCCGGAUUAGAUACCCGGGUAGUCCACGCCGUAAACGAUGCGGACUAGGUGUCGGGGGUAUCGACCCCCUCGGCGCCGCAGCUAACGCCUUAAGUCCGCCGCCUGGGGACUACGGCCGCAAGGCUAAAACUCAAAGGAAUUGACGG
rnacentral:rRNA from 1 species